rnacentral:rRNA from 1 species
AGAUUGAACCAUGGGGGCAACCCUGAUCCAGCCAUGCCGCGUGUGUGAAGAAGGUCUUCGGAUUGUACCGCACUUUAAGUUGGGAGGAAGGGCUUUAGGUUAAUACCCUGAAGUUUUGACGUUACCAACAGAAUAAGCACCGGUUAACUCUGUGCCAGCAGCCGCGGUAAUACAGAGGGGGCAAGCGUUAAUCGGAAUUACUGGUCGUAAAGCGCGCGUAGGUGGGUCAGUAAGAUGGGUGUGAAAUCCCCGGGCUUAACCUGGGAACUGCUUUCAUAACUGCUGAGCUAGAGUACGGUAGAGGGUAGUGGAAUGUCCUGUGUAGCGGUGAAAUGCGUAGAUAUAGGAAGGAACACCAGUGGCGAAGGCGACUACCUGGACUGAUACUGACACUGAGGUGCGAAAGCGUGGGGAGCAAAC